AAUGCUUUUGCACCCCAUGUUUCUGAUUUGGCAAGUGCUCAGAGAAGAGGAAUCUGCCAAGCAAUGAACCCCGGAAAAGCGGAUCUACACUCAUUUUGAAGGCUUUCAUGGUCCAAGAGUAAAAUCUCCAUUAAAUGUGAGUCGUAAGUCAGGCUGCAGAACUACCCCUUUCCUUGACAGCUUCCUGACGUUGCAGAGUAUAAAAAGGGAUUGACUGCCAUGGAAGCACGUUGCUUCUUAGCUGACACUCGUAAAACUUAACUAAAUCAAAAGCCUUUCCUUUAAAAAGGCCCAGAGCCUGGUUUUCAUUGGACUGUGCACUAAAUGGGGGGAGAAAUCUCAGAGAAAGCACACUUUGGAAGGUCUGCUUCAGAAAAGAAAAACCAUUUCCGAAGCUCUUAAAAUGUUCCAUUUAUACGCAGUUGUCUUUUAUCAUGCACAGAUCUUGUAAGGCUGCACAGAUGAAAGAGGGGACUUUUCAAGUCAUGAUCCUCCUGGAGAUCCUAUACUUACGCUGUUUGGAUAUCUAAAGGAUAGGAGAACAGAAUAAGUCUUAGAGAUGACGAUUCGUUUGUUAAGGGCAGGUCAAAGAGAAUACCCUGCAACAUUUCUCAAAUGAAAAUAGGGAUGUCAUAUUUAAUACUAAUACUAAUACUCAGUGCUUUUUUCUGAGGGGACUCAGGGGUACGCAUACCCCUAAACAUUUUGUGAAUCUUUGUACUUUUGUCCAUUUACCGUAUUUAUUUUUCCCAAUUUGAACUAUAAAAUGGUGAGUCAAAAUGAGAGUAUCCAUACACAUUUUUUUAAAGAAAAAAGCACUACUAAUACUAAUACUAAUACUAAUACUAAUACUAAUACUAAUACUAAUACAAAUACUACUAUUUAUACCCCACCCAUCUGACUGGUUUGUCCCAGCCACUCUGGGCAGUUCCCAACAUAUAUAAAAAGAUAAUAUAAUGUUUAACAUUAAAACAUUAAAUAUUCCCAUCCAAGCUGGCCAUUAUAACAACUUUGUAACGCUUAGGAUUUGGUGACUGAAUUUGCUUUCUUUCUUCUUCUACCUUCCCCAUCCCUUUUUCCUUUUAUGAUGCAUCUUUUUCCAUUGUAAGCCUGAGGAAAAGGACUGUGUUGUUUUUGUUGAUUUGGAAGGCACUCUGGGAGCUUUCCUCCCUGAAAAGCAGGGUCCAAAUGCUUUGAAUCAAUCAAUCAAUCAAUCAAUCAAUGGAAAGGGCUAUUAUAGAACCUCUUCCCCAUGAGUUUUCUGCUCCCCUUUUAAUCUUCAAUAGCUGAGCUAACUGUCAACACCACCUCUUGGGUGUUUUCUUCUUUUUAAACCCAAUACCCUGAGAGCAGCAUCUUGUACAUCAACGCAAUAAUAGCAGGAGAAACAACAGAAGGAUGCAAAGCUUGUGCUCACUAAUCAGAACAAAUGUUUUCAGGCUUCCGAUGUGUGAUGCAAGCAAAUUAACCACUCUUAAGAGCAAAGUGGUGAUUCCACACUCCACCCCCCAAAAACACACACACAAAACACCCUUCUUCAGGUUCUGUUUACAAAGCAAACAAACCCUGGUGAAAUGUAACUGCUUGUCAGAGAAAAUGUCUAUUACUUAUUCUUGCCUUCUUGUAAUGUGAUGCCCACCGUACAACUUGUAAGUUUAAUAGGUCCCAGGAGCCGGCCACUUGGUUAGCGCAGGUUAAUGUUUCCGGGCACAUUUCAAAGUGUUGGUGCUGACCUUUAAAGCCCUAUACGGCCUCGGUCCAGUAUACCUGAAGGAGCGUCUCCACCCCCAUCAUUCAGUCUGGAAACUGAGAUCCAGCGCCGAGGGCCUUCUGGCGGUUCCCUUGCUGUGAGAAGCCAAGUUACAGAGAACCAGACAAAGGGCCUUCUCAAUAGUGGCACCUGCCCUGUGGAAUGCCCUCCCAUCAGUCCAGGAAAUAAACAACUAUCUGACUUUUAGAAGACAUCUGAAGGCAGCCCUGUUUAGGGAAGUUUUUAAUGUUUGGUGUUUUAUCAUGUUUUUAAUAUACUGUUGGGAGCCGCCCAGAGUGGCUGGGGAAAACCAGCCAGAUGGGCAGGGUAUAAAUAAUAAAUUAUUGUUAUUAUUAUUAUUAUUUAGGGGAAAAACAUACAUGAAAGGCAGAAGGGCCCCUGCCCAACCCCACACCCCCACUUGUCAUAUGAACACCACUUUGCCUCCGCUUCCACUCUGACUUUGAUCCAAAGAUUCAGAGGGUUAAUAGGAACGAAUUUCUUCUACUUCUGGGUAUUCCAGAUGAAGGGGGAGAUGUCACAACCUCCAUCAAGCAAGUCUCUGGCCUUCUCCAGAACAGUGCUUUGUCGUGAGUGUUUUCUGUGACAUGUUUGUGACACGAUGAUAGUGGUGGGCUAUUUCUGCUGUGAUUCUUUCCCAAUGGUAUUGCAUUAUUUUCUUUCUUCGGGGGCUACAGCACAACCAAAGCUGUACACACUCACACACUCACACACAACUCAGAACAGUUUGGGUUAAUACAGUGGUACCUCGGGUUACAUACGCUUCAGGUUACAGACUCCGCUAACCCAGAAAUAGUACCUCGGGUUAAGAACUUUGCUUCAGGAUGAGAACAGAAAUCGUGCUCUGGCGGCGCAGCAGCAGCAGGAGGCCCCAUUAGCUAAAGAACAGUUUCAGGUUAAGAACGGACCUCCGGAACGAAUUAAGUACUUAACCCAAGGUACCACUGUAAUUUGUUUGGCCAAAAGGUAGAGUGGAUGCCGCUGGGAAUGUUGAGAGAAUAGGAGUCACCAAACUGUCAUCUUCAUGGACAUUACAGGCAAGAAGUGCAUAAGCCAUAUACUCUACUCUCCACAGGGAAGUUUUAAAUGUUGGAUGUUUUAUUGCAUUUUUUAUAUUUUGUUGCAAACCACCCAGAGUGACUGGGGAAACCCAGCCAGAUGGGUGGGGUAUAAAUAAUAAAAAUUAUUAUUAUUAUUAUUAUUAUUACUACAGCAAGGAGUAUCCAUAAAGUGGACAUUGAAUACAGCAAUUCAACCUAUUUGGGUAUUGGCCCUUCCAUGUGUGUGUGUAUCCUGGUGAGAGAAAAACCAAAGUCAAGAAGAAUCUUGUCUCUUUUCCAAGAGGGUUUACCGUAUUUUUCCAUCUAUAAGACACCCCCUAUUUUUGGAGACUCACAUUUAAGAAAAUGGGGGGAGAAGGCACAGAGUUGUUGAGCUUUUUUUGAUCCCAAAAUCCACCUCCUAUCUGUCCCAUCGCCAGCAGAAGCUGCCAGUCGCCCACCCAACUGCUGGAGCUUCAGCCAAUCAACAUCACCCAUUGAUGCAGCAACCAAUAACACGCACAAUAGCCGCUGACAAUCGUUGCAGCGGCCAAUCAAACGUCCACCCUAUGCACUACCCAUGUAUAACACCCACAAUUUUUAGCAGGAUUUUUAAUGAAAAAACAUAGUCUUAUACAUGGAAAAGUACAGAAUGUCACCUGGAACUGGGAUGCCACUUAGCAGCCAUUUCUGAUGAGCUACUGCGGGGUGUUGUUGUUUUUUUAAUGUGAUCAUAUUGAUGGGAAUGUUAUUUAUAUGUAAUUUUCUAACGCUUUGUAAUCGUUGCAAGCUGCUUUGAGCUCAACUUUGCUGCUAGCAGAGGAGCGGCAUGCAAAUAUGACAUUGACUCAAAUCAACGUAACAAACUGAGGUUCGGCUUGACAUACAAGCCAAUGCAAGACAUUUGUCGAAAGUGGUCCAUUUGAAACUAAGCAGCGCUGAAUGCCAAUCAAAGCCACUAAACUUGUACAAAGUGCUUCUGUUCUUCCGGAGGCUUUGAUGGAGGAAAGAGUUAGGCUUUGAUUCUGUUGCUUCUCUCUCGCUCCUGAGUGGCAGGCAGCCCAUGUACAUUAUUUAUUAAAAGUUAAGGAGUAAGAUGCCUUUACUCCUGACUGGGAAAAGUGGGUUUUCAGGAAAGGUGGGGGGCUUUGGGAGAAAUAUAUAUAUAUCUCAGGAGCAAAGCUACUGGUGCGGAGCUUGAAGAUGAAGGACCCUGCUUUUUCUCCUUGCUAACUUUGAAUAUGGGAGCUUCAAAAUCCAGACUGUCAUGUAUGAUCACAAAACCCAUCUUAUGCACAAAGAAGAGGGGCAGAGAAAUAAUGCCCCCAAAGAUCCCAGAAUCUUUGCUCUUAGAUUCAAUGAGAGCUGGAAUUAGAAGAGAAAAGGUGAAUUCUAUCCUGCUCUAAAUUAGUAACUGCUUUUUGAACGGAGUUUGCAUCUCAUCGUGUCUGCAGCAGCAACAGCAGCAGCAGGCUUCUAAAGCAAUCCAGCUAUGUCUAAGGGUGCAAUUCCUCCUCUUGAAUGGGAACAUAGUGUGAUAAAAAGGUAAAGGGACCCCUGACCAUUAGGUCCAGUCGCGGAUGACUCUGGGGAAGAGGUGCUCAUCUCGCUUUAUUGGCUGAGGGAGCCGGCGUACAGCUUCCAGGUCAUGUGGCCAGCAUGACUAAGCCGCUUCUGGCGAACCAGAGCAGCGCACGUAAACGGCGUUUACCUUCCCGCUGGAGCGGUACCUAUUUAUCUACUUGCACUUGAUGUGCUUUCGAACUGCUAGGUGGGCAGGAGUAGGGACUGAGGAAUGGGAGCUCACCCCGUCGCGGGGAUUCGAACUGCCGACCUUCUGAUCGGCAAGUCCUAGGCUCUGUGGUUUAACCCACAGCGCCACCCGCGUCCCAACAUAGUGUGAUAUAUAUCACAAUAUAUAUCUGUUGUAAACAAAAAUCUGCCCUUUUCCCUUAUGGGGUAUCCAAGAGCCCAUAUAGAGUCUUUACAUAGGUUCCCAUAGAAGCCAACUAGAGAAUAUUGAGAAGUAAAGCAGCUAGUAAGCCUGAUCUUUAUUGAUCUGUUGCAACAGGUCCUCACUCACCACGCGAAGAAGGGAGGAGGAGCCCAGAACAAUGGUGUGCAAUCCUUUAUAUAGACUUUUGAAAUUGCCACCAUGUAGAUCAAGACCACCCCCAGAAACAUACAUACAUCACAGAAGGGGUGUAGCUCAAGACCACCACCCCAGAUACAUCGUACCUACAUCACAGAAAGGGCGGUCUACAGGAAAUCUGAGUGCUUUGUUGGGCAGGUUACCUGUUAAUGGUCGCUUGAUUGGAUUACCUGGGGAGCCUGGCCAAUCUUUUGGAAUGAUAAAUACUUUAGUUCCUGAGCCGGGUCACAGGUUCACCCUGUUCAUACACAGACAUACCCUUAAGACAGGAUUUGUGAGGAAAGAGACAAUGGGGAGGCUUCCCACUUUGACCUUGCAGAGAAAUCAUUUGCUCAGGGGAAUCAAAAUGGUUUCAGGUUGGUCUUCCUAUGCUGAUCUAUGUAUGUGCUUGGUUGGUACACUUAUGAACAUUUAACAUAUACUUCAAAAUUCCUAUCACAAUAGCAUCCUGCCUUAGGCUCAGGCUUGCCUACAACAGUGAUAGGGAACCAGCUGCCCUCCAGAUGUGGAUGGACUUCAACUCUCAGGAGCCCCAGCCUGCGUAAACAAUGGUCAAGGACAAGCAUAGGCAAACUCGGCCCUCCAGAUGUUUUGGGGCUACAAUUCCCAUCAUCUCUGACCACUGGUCUUGUUUGCUAGGGAUCAUGGGAGUUGUAGGCCAAAAACAUCUGGAGGGCUGAGUUUGCCUAUGCCUGGUCAAGGAUAAUGGAAGCUGUGAUCCAAUAUCUUGUUGUUUAGUCGUUUAGUUGUGUCCAACUCUUUGUGACCCCAUGGACCAGAGCACGCCAGGCACUCCUGUCUUCCACUGCCUCCCGCAGCUUGGUCAAACUCAUGUUAGUAGCUUCGAGAACACUGUCCAACCAUCUUGUCCUCUGUCGUCCCCUUCUCCUUGUGCCCUCAAUCUUUCCCAGCAUCAGGGUCUUUUCCAGGGAGUCUUCUCUUCUCAUGAGGUGGCCAAAGUAUUGGAGCCUCAGCUUCAGGAUCUGUCCUUCCAGUGAGCACUCAGGGCUGAUUUCCUUCAGAAUGGAUAGGUAUGAUCUUCUUGCAGUCCAUGGGACUCUCAAGAGUCUCCUCCAGCACCAUAAUUCAAAAGCAUCAAUUCUUCGGCCAUCAGCCUUCUUUAUGGUCCAGCUCUCACUUCCAUACAUCACUACUGGGAUCCAAUAUCUAGAGGACCACAAGUCCCUUACCUGUGUUCUUCAUACUAGCUGGCGGUAGUUCUAGAAAGUGACCUAUCCUAGCCUUACCUAGAGAUGCUGGUCCAUGAAUAUGUGAAAUUAGAAGCAGUGAAGGUUGCUCCCUGAGGAUGAAUGGGGCACUGUCCCACCAAGUGCACUCCCCCCCAGCUAGCCUUCCCCUUCCUGCCUUCCUACUUACGGCCAACCCAAGGGGUGGUGCCACAACCUGCCAGCAUCCUCCUCCAUAGUCUCAGUGCUGCCUUUGAGAAAGGAGGAUGGGGACAAAGAGAGAAUGAGGUGUCUUAUUUAUUUAAUUUUAUUUCAAAACCAAAAAGAAACAAAUACAAGCAUCAAAUUCAAAAUCCAUAUUCGUUUUCUAACAUAAGCCUAUUACAUAGAUUACCUAAAUUAAAACAUACAUGAUUACUCUAGGCUUCCCUUUGCUGUAUGUAAAUACAUCGCAGUUAAGAAAUGUAUAUUAUAAAUAAUAUUAUAGAUUCCCACAUGCCCCCCACUCCCCUUCACCCAUGUGUGAUCUCAAUAUUUUAUUUCUUCCAUCUUGUUGCGUUGUUAUAAUUUAAUAAUUAUUCAAUUGUUUCUAUUGUUAUUUUCUUGCUUACCCCUGCACGUUUUACGCAUUAUCUAUUAAUAUUUCAAUUCCGGAACAAUAUUUUUUCAUGUAUUCCUUCACUCCAUCCCACUCUUUGAUUAUUCUCUGAUUUGAGUGACCGCUAAUAAUUGCUGUCAAUUUUGCCAUUUCUACAAAUUCACAGAGUUUGUUUUGCCAUUCUAAUAAUGAUGGGAUUUUCUCCCCCUUCCAGUUCUUUGCGAUCAUUAGAGAAUGAGGUGUCAUUGGCUGUGAUUCCACCUGCAGUUGGGCUCCCUGCAUUCCAGCCUACCAGGCCCACUGGGUAACAGCCAACACUGGUAUGAACAUAAGAAAUAAUCUGCUGGAUCAGACCACCUCAUCCAGUAUCCUACUCUCACAGUGUCUGACCUGAUGCUCAUGGGAAGCCUGUAAGCCGCACCUGAAUGAAACAGUGCUCUCCUCACCUGGGAUUCCCAGCAACCAGCAUUCAGAUGUAUACUACCUCAGACAGUGGUUAUUGUGGUUGGUAGCCCUUGGUAGCCUUACCUUCACAAAUUACCGUAUUUUUCGCUCUAUAAGAUGCACUUUCCCCCUUCUAAAAAGUAAGCGGAAAUGUGUGUGCGUCUUAUGGAGCAAAUGCAGGCUGUGCAGCUAUCGCUGAAGCCAGAAGAGCAAGAGGGAUCGGUGCGCAGCGAUCCCUCUUGCUCUUCUGUCUUCAGAGAUAGCCACACAAAGCCUCUUGAGCGCAGCGGGAGCGCUCCUCCCUCUGCGCUCAAGAGGCUAUGCAUUGCUUUCUUGUUUCUUGUUUUCCUCCUCUAAAAACUAGGUGCGUCUUAUGGUUGGGUGUGUCUUACAGGGCGAAAAAUACGGUAAUCUUUUACAUGCUAAACAUGUGCCGCACCUCUGAGCAACUGUUCUUCCCUUGGCUUGUUAUGGCCAAGCUUUGUUAUGGAUGGGAUACAUCCAGGCACACACACAAUCCAGCUACUUUGCUACAGUGGUACCUCAGGUUACAUAUGCUUCAGGUUACAUACGCUUCAGGUUACAUACUCCGCUAACCCAGAAAUAGUGCUUCAGGUUAAGAACUUUGCUUCAGGUUGAGAACAGAAAUCGUGCUCCGGCGGUGCGGCAGCAGCAGGAGGCCCCAUUAGCUAAAGCAGUGCUUCAGGUUAAGAACAGUUUCAGGUUAAGUACGGACCUCCGGAACGAAUUAAGUACUUAACCUGAGGUACCACUGUAUUCUCUUGCAUUUCUCAAGCCCUCUGUGCAAAGCUUGCAUUUGAUUUCUUGCUCUGCCCACUUUUGCCUCAGUCCCUGCCCACCAUGGGUGUGUGGCCCCUGAAAGGUUGUCCAGCAGGGUAGGUGGACCUCGGAAUGAAAAAGGUUCCCCACCGCAGCUCUGAUGCUUGCUCCCCUUCUCUUUCCCUCUGCAGCCAGUAUCUGAGAGCAGCUUCUUGUCCAUCUGAAGAGAGGCUUCGUUGAGAAUUAAAAACUCUCCGGAGCGGAUCCUCAGUUAGCUUUGAUUUUUGAGCCCCUCGUGUGAUGAGCCUCGGGGAGCAGCCGUGUGGGUGGAGCGGAGCUUGCAAGGCUUGAACCAAAACAAGCUAACUCCCCAUGGCCUUCUGGGAAGAAACCGUGUGGUCUCAUGCCAGGGUUCCCAUUGUGAUUCCAAAUCGGGUGUGGGUGUGUCUGUUUCCCGUCCUUGGCCCUUAUUUGGCAAAAUAUAUAAACAGCAGGGUUGUCCCAACAAAGUUGAAAGGAUGUUCACAUGCAGGCAGGAGAUGUAAAUUGUCUGCGGAUUAUGAAGGGGGGGCAGGGAAGCACUCAGACCUUAAUUCUAGAAAAAAAACCCAUUGUGUGUACAUAUCUGUGUAUGCAGCCUAAAUCUUAUCAUCCCACACUUCACGGGCCUUGAAGAUGUUACACACAUCCUCCCACCCUCCAGAGUUUAAAAGCUUUGCGUCUAUUUGUUUUUUAAAGUGUCUUUUCACUUAAAAGAGCUUGACACUUCAUGCAGGAUUUGCAGCAACUCAUCCGAAAUAAUCUCUGCGGGGUUCUCUGCCUGGAUGUGCAAUAUUUGACGUGGUCUUUCUUUCCUUCUAUGGCAGUAACCUGCACGGUGGUCAAAUGGCUCUAUCCUGCAUUGCUCGUUUCAUUUUGCUUUUUUUAUAUAAAAAAACCAAGAGCAAUUAGAACAGCGGCCAUAUUAUUCCAAAGAGGCAGAACAUCAAAUAAGCCAGUGCCACACCCUUCAGAGAAGAGGAAACUUUGCCCUUAACAAGGGAGGCAGUGACAGCUGCUCAAUGUUCCAAGUUAAGUUGGGCCCAGCCUUUGAUCUCAGCAGGGGGCAGCGGGACUUGUGCUAACCACAUAUGCAAUCCUUACUUAAAAGGGUCAAGCAGGUAUUUUUAGUUCUAGUUUGAAGAUGGAGGGAGAGCCUGCCUCUCUCUCUCUCUCUCUCUCUCUCUCUCUCUCUCUCUCUCUCUCGGAUUAAAAAAAGGAAAAGCAGUUAGUGAAGCCAUUGCUAAGGUGGAAUGCCAGAGAUAAGAAAGGAAGAGGCUCUGGGUUAUUUGCCAAUUGGUGUCCUUCCCCCCUUCCCUAGCAGUGUGUAGGAGCCAUGCUCAAUUUACAGGGGAUGCACAGGAGCAACCCCCUGGCCCCCUUACAUUUUAUGCUAGCUAACACUUUUCAGAAGGCUCUCAGUAUGUGUCUGGUUUGGCUAAAGCUGGAGGGAGAGUGAGGCUUGCAGAGUUCCACUGAGAGCGCCCACCCUCUUCCCUUGUCAUUUGAGCACUAUGUAGAAGCCGUGUCUGUGUGUCUGUGUGUACAAUGCUAGGCCAAUUGGGCAGAGCACCAUAGAGAAUGCCUCCCCAUCUUUGUUGUGAUCUUGGGAAGGCAGUAUUGUGCAGCGGUUAGAGUGCGAAGGCCUGAAGUUCACCUGAUAACCUUCUAGUGCAGAGCUUUCCAAACCGUGUGUCGUGACACAUUAGUGUGUUGGCUGCAGUGUGUAGGUGUGUUGUGCGAAUGCUCCCCCAUGUUCUUCCCGGGGCUGGAAAGGGGUUAGUUUAAACCUCUGGUUUGCUAGUGAAACUGAAUUACUGUGCUGCGAAACAAUGCAUGUCUAAAAAGUGUGUCACCAUUGUGAAAAGUUUGGAAAGCUCUGUUCUAGGGUCACUCUAAACCUAACUUACCUUACGGCAUUGUUUUAGAGAUAGGGUCCAGGGAUGGGGAGGGGCAUGUAUUCUGCUUUGAACUCCCUGGAGGCAAGAUGGGAUGGAAACAUAAAAAAUAAUAAGGAUACAGUUGCACAGCAAAGAGUGGUGUUUUCUAGCAGGAGCUGUGUUCAACUCUAGCCUUAUCCCUAUGCACAUACUUUCUCAAACAAUGGCUGCAUGGCUGAAGAGGCAAGCAGUUUUUCAGGUUGCAUACUGGGGAGGAAGGGAUUGCCUCAUCAGCCUGGAAACUUCACAGACCCCUCCAGUGGUUUGUUUUCCCCUCUGUCAUUUCCAUUGCUUCAUCAGGGACUACCACUGUCCACUGCUUGAGGUAGUCCUGGGAGCACCGCUUCAGAAGCCCUGCUCUGUUUUAUUGAUCCUACAACAUUGCCAGUCAGCAAGUAUUUUGAUGCUCCCGCACGGUCAAAUUGUCAGUAUGGGGAGAUGAAAAGCCCAUAAAAUCACAGUUCUUCCAUACCCUGCUCACAAUCAACUGUUUUCCACUAUCCCAAGGAUGAGGAAGCUGCUGAACCGUUAGCCAUGUUGCCUGGGAACAGUGGGCAUGGUACUCUGUUGACAUCUAGAGAGCACCAGGUUGAGGAGAGCUGGUUUUCUCCUGUUGCUGUAUCUGUUUCUCCCUCAUACCAGGCACUGUCCCAGGCUACCUGCCAGCCUGGCCUUUGUACAACCAGGUCAGGGAAUGGCACUGGCUGGCAGCUUCCUCCUCUUUAGACUCAGUGUUGCCCUUGUAGGACUCAGCCAAGACGAGGAUGGGGACAAACCUAGAAUUAAUUGGCCCUCUCUGGUAUAGCUCCAACUACACCUGCAUCCCUCUCUAUCAGUUCCAGUGGGCACCAGCAGGGUGGUCUUUACUUGGGGGUGCAAGAGGUCCAAGGCACCCAGGCACAGAAUUCUGGGGAGUGCCAGGCACCCGCCACUAAAGGCACCUAAGCUCUUAACUAUCUCUACCUGUGAUUAAAUAAUAAAUAAUUUUGAUUAAUCUGACAUUCAAAGCCGGCUGCCACUGCCGCCUCCACCCUGGCCGCUUUCUCCUCCCCAGAGUCCUGCCCUGCAUGAAGAGGCGUUGCUCUUCUCCUCCCUCCUCCUGGGGAGCUUUUAAAAGUACCUGGAUGUGAAGCUGCACGGCCUUUGCAGAGCUCGGGUGCCCAGUCCUUGAGGGGCGACAGCAGCGAGACUCGGAAGAGCAGGACACCGCCUCCGCCGCCGCCAUGACCUUGCCUGCAACCAUGGAGAAGUAUAAAGGUAAAGGGACCCCUGACCAUUAGGUCCAGUCGUGGCCGACUCUGGGGUUGUGGCGCUCAUCUUGCUUUAUUGGCCGAGGGAGCCGGCGUACAGCUUCCGGGUCAUGUGGCCAGCAUGACUAAGCCGCUUCUGGCGAACCAGAGCAGCGAAUGGAAAUGCUGUUUACCUUUCUGCUGGAGCGGUACCUAUUUAUCUACUUGCACUUUGACGUGCAAGGCUGGCAGGAGCAGGUACCGAGCAACUGGAGCUCAUCCCAUCGCGGGGAUUCAAACCGCCAACCUUCUGAUCGGCAAGUCCUAGGCUCUGUGGUUUAACCCACAGCGCCACCCGCUUCCCUAUGGAGAAGUAUAUCUUAGUUGUAAACAUGAGCAGCAGUAAAUUUGGGGGCGCUGGGUGGGUCUUUGCACUCCGGCGGUGCAUAUGCUAAAGAUGGCCCUGGGCACCAGUCACCACUGGAUGGGGAACCCUGUGGUCCUCCAGAUGUUGUUGGACUUCAACUCCCAUCAUCCCUGACCAGAGGCAGGGGUGGUUUGAGUUCAGCACAAUGGGUACAGUCUCAGCCGUGCUGCAGGGAACACCAAAACAAAACUGUAGAAUGGAGUGCAAGAGGUGCCCCGCCCUCCAUUUUAGUAUCACAUAGGGCACGGCUGAAUUUUGAGAACCCAAAGUCCACCACUGGUCACACUGGCUGGGGCUGAUGGGAGUUGUUACCAGGUUCCCGCAUCCUCACUCUGCAAGCUCUGGUUCUAGAUCAGGCUUCCUCAACCUCAGCCCUCCAGAUGUUUUGGCCUACAACUCCCAUGAUCCCUAGCAGGACCAGUGGUCAGGGAUGAUGGGAAUUGUAGUCCCAUAACAGCUGGAGGGCCGAGGUUGAGGAAGCCUGUUCUAGAUUCGUGCCCCACUGGGAGCGAUCAGUUCUUUUGUAACCAAAAGCUGGCAUUCUUAACGCGUCUUCUUUCCAGACAGACCUCUUGGGAGGAAGGAAGCGUGAUCCCCACGGAACUGCUGCUAACUGCUGCAAGUGGGCAACAUUUAGGCCCUGUGACGCUCUGAGCAAAGGAAGAAGAAGAAACAGAUAGGGUUGGGGGUUAAGAAGAAGAAGAGAGUAAAUGAAAUAACUCUCACAGGGGAAAUACCCUUUUCAAAGCAAAAACCUUCAAGGAAGUGCUGAUUUGCAUUACAGAAGCGCUCUGUCAUUUUAUUUCCUGCCACAGACAAAUUUAUCACUUUUUUUUGGAGUGUCGACUAUCAAUGACAGCAGAAAUUACACGUCCUUUCAUAGCCCAAGUCUUUUGAUAAUUACUCUUUUAACUGCCUCUUGCUUACAGAUUUUAUCUCAUUCCGAGUAGAGGGGUAACAAUCUGACACAGUUUGGAAGAAUAUUAAAUUCACCCCUCCACCACCACCACCCGUCAACUGGAAAGUGCUUGACCGGAUAAUGUCGCUGCCCCAAAAGAGGCAAUCUGCCAAAAGAGAAUUAAAAUCUGAAACAAUGAAAGGUUUCAAAUAGGGAAAUGUGAUGACAGAGAUGAGAGGAAGGUUUCAUUUGGACAGGGUAUGAUUUCCCUGUGAUGGUUGCUUUAUUCUUCCCCUCCCCCCUUGUUUAUUCUUAAUGCAUUAUCACAUCCUCGGGGGCCAAAACACUGCCAGUCUUCCCAAAGAGGAGUGCGGGAAAUAGGAACAUUCAGAAAGGAUUUCCAUGGAUGGCUACCAAUGUUACUCCUGCUCAGAGUAGCCCCCUUAAAAUUAAUGGGCAUGUCUAAUUUAAAGCUAGUGUUUUCAAUGGGUCUGUGGAGUAGAACUUAGCUGGAUGCUAACCCUAAAGGCUGGACAAUAAAAACAGCUGACAAUAGAGGGAAACCUAAAAAAAAUAAGUAAAAUCCAUCUAGCUGGGAAAGGUUGUCAGAGAGAGAGAGAGAGAGAGAGAGAGAGAGAGAGAGAGAGAGAAAGAAAGAAAGAAAGAAAGUCUUCAAUUGUUUCAGGAAAAUACAGAUAGCAGAUGCCCAUUGUAUCUCAGCAAGGAUGCCUUUCCACAUAACAGGGGCAACCACACCUAAGGCCCUGUUCCAAGUUGCAGUGAAAGCACUUCUGAUAUUUUAGAGACUUUAAGGAGAUACUCUUCUGCAGGACACAGCAACCUUUUGAGUGUGGGAUAACCAGCCUCAUGCAACCAACAUGCUUAAGUCUCAUUAACAUGAAGGGAUUAAUACCAUAGAGUAAUCUGUCCUGCCAGGCUUAGCUGUGUCCCCUUCCGCUCACCUUGAGAGGGACUAGGUAAUCAGAUCUCUGUUCCCUCAGUUAACCCAAGAAGCUCAGCAUGUGAAGAGGAUUGAUCUGGUUGCUCCAGCUCAGACCGCAUAGCUCCCACAAACAUCCCUUGAGUUCCUAUACCAAUAAUUUAGAAACUUUCAGUGUUUUGGAACUAAGCCAAGUUUUACUGCCUGUGCCACUUUUCUGACUGGUGUAUGGAAACGCACAUGAACCAGACCUUUGAAGAGUUUGUAAGUGAACCAAUGGAAGAGGGACAUUUUGGAACUCACAAGGGCAUAUUUUAAAGAUUUAACAGCCUAUAUUUCAGUGCUUUGAUUUGCUGAAUAUUUUGUGAUUUUAAAUCUCUGCUGGGGUUCCUGCCUCAAACUUGGAUCUUGGCAUCUAGGAAUUAUCAUCAAAUUUUAUAUAUAUAUAAAACCAGCAUGGGGUAUAUAAGAGUUGAAGCAGAACCAAUAGGGCUGCAGCUUACAUACACACUGACUGCACCAGUUUAAUGGGAAGAGUCUCUUGGGCUCAUCUUCUUUAUGUUCUUCAUGGCCUGCUUUUGCCUUUGUGUUAACAUGACAAGCCAAGCCUAUAAAUAUAUGUUUGUUUGCACAUGGCAUUUCAGCAGGCAACCAUAAAAUGCAAAAUGGCACUUCAUUGCUUUUUUGUGUUUUGUUUUUGCUCCUUCCAAAGCCUUUCUUCUCAUGAUUUCCUCUGGGCACUCAAGACAAAUGGCAGUUAGGGAAGAAACUGGAAGGUGUUGAAAACUGCUCCUGUUCUGUUAUCUCAAGUUCUCCUGCAUGGUCUGCUAUCUGUAUACAACUGGAUCUGGUGGCAACAGUUGUUGAGAAGUUUGCUUUUUCAGCCAGGGAUGUGAAUAUAUCUCUGGAGCAAGUUUUCUUUGAUCUGGGAGAGGACAGUGAUCUGCCCAUCUGCCCCACAUCAUCCCAAUAACAGAUCUCUCAUACUUCAGACUUAAAACUGAAAAGUGAGGGGAAAAAUUGAGAAGCUCAAGAAGUGGAAUAUACGAAUUAAGAAAAACUGGAGUUUCACAGUGGUGCCAACCACUGUGUCCCUGAAAAAAGGGUGGCUUUUAUGAAUGUGUGACUGAGAAAGAGAGAUGGAAAACUUUUCGUAGAAGAGAAUAUGCUGACAGACUUGUAGUUUUGAUCUGGAGCACCCCCCACCCCACCAAAAAAAAUUCUCAAGGCUAGAUGGGAGCUAAAGGAUUCCUAGAGAAUAAGGAUUUGGCUGCUAUCUUGCAGGCAAACACCCUUGAAUUUACCCUAAAAUGUGGGAUCCCGUGCAAUUUGAGAAGGGAAUUUGGUGUCAUGCCAGAAAGAAAGUGUUUACAGAAAACAAGCAUAUAUCAUAUAACAAAAAUACAGAGCUGCAGCUCAGUUGGUUUACCCCCAAAGAUGUUGCAACAUUCUGAGUUCCCAUUGGUGUGGAAAUCUCUAAUGUCUUAGAUGAUGCGCAACAGGUUUCUCAGUUGGUCAGGGUUGGAGAACUCAAGGCUGGGGGAGUUUGUCUCCCAAGCCUCUCUGUCUGGGUCUCUCUUACCAGAUCACACCCUUCCCUAAGCCGCACACCCCUCUCCCAAGACCACAUCUCUAGCCAGACCUGUUUGCAUCCUCCUUGAGUGUUCUCACAAUGAAUCUUACUCACCUGGAUGCAGGAUAGAAGAGAGAGAAAGAGAGAGGGAGGAGGAGGAGGAGGAGGAGGAGGAGGAGGAGAUUUGCAUUUGCCCACAAUCUGUCUGUCUGUCUGUCUCUGUCUGUCUUAUCUAUCUUCCGUCUAAAAUCUGCAGUUUGGACCAAAAAGCAACUGCUAACCAUUUCCAGUCCUGGGAACCACAGCCUGUAAGACAUAUCAGUAAUUUCUGUAGAGAUGCCAAUAGAUCCAACCAUGUUAGCAAAGGCAGAGGUGUUCUGGAUGUGUUCUCUGGACACAUUGAUACCACAUGGCCUCAGCCUGUACCACUUUGCAUCAGCCCAUGAAGCCCUUCUGAGCACUCCAUCCUCAAAGCUCUGUAAGAGCCACCCUGGAACCAGCAGCAUUUUUAACAGAGCAACUGAUGAAGCCAGAAGCCAG